rnacentral:tRNA from 1 species
GGGCUAAUAGCUCAGCUGGAAGAGCGCAUCGGAAAGAUGGUGACCGGGGUUCAAGUCCUCGUUAGUCCA